GGGCAGCUAUUCAGUUCAUCACCACAGGGGUCCUGAGAGUAGGAGUCUUGUGCGUCCCCUGCUGGUUGCUUUGAUCUCUAGAGGUCCUUAGCUGCCUAAAAUCCCAGACAGAGGCCCCUCCCCCUGUUGAGGUGGGAACCCUUGUAAUAUUGGUGCAAGUCUGGCAGCAGAGACUUCAAAUCCCCCAACUCAGGCUGAGGCAGAGUGGAUCAGGAACCAGCUAUAGCUUGCCUGCACAGGCCAGAGCUCCCUCCUGUUCUGAUUCACAGAUGGAGUCAGUGGAAAAGACCACGAACAGAAGUGAGCAGAAAUGCAGAAAGUUUUUAAAGAGCCUCAUUAGAAAGCAACCCCAGGACCUGCUCUUGGUCAUUGGGACUGGCGUGAGCGCAGCUGUGGCCCCAGGCAUCCGAGCGCUCUGCUCUUGGAGGAGCUGCAUUGAGGCGGUCAUCGAGGCUGCGGAGCAGCUGGAGGUUCUGCACCCUGGCGACGUUGCUGAGUUCCGGAGGAAGGUGAUGAAGGAUCGGGACCUGCUGGUUGUGGCCCAUGAUCUGAUCCGGAAGAUGUCACCUCGCACAGGCGACACCAAGCCCAACUUCUUCCAGGAUUGCCUGAUGGAGGUGUUUGACAGCUUGGAGCAGCACAUUCAGAACCCGGUGGUGCUGCGGUCCAUCCUCAGCCUGAUGGACAGGGGCACCAUGGUGCUGACCACCAACUACGACAACCUGCUGGAGAUCUUCGGGCAGCAGCAGAGCAAGCCCAUGGAGUCCUUGGACUUGAAGGAUAAGACGAAGGUUCUUCAGUGGGCAAGAGGCCAUAUUAAGUAUGGAGUUCUUCAUAUUCAUGGUUUGUACACGGACCCCUGUGGGAUGGUGCUGGAUCCAUCGGGCUAUAAAGAUGUCACUCAAGAUCCGGAAGUCAUGGAAGUCCUGCAAAAUCUCUACCGAACCAAGUCAUUCCUGUUCGUGGGCUGUGGCGAGACACUUCGGGACCAGAUAUUCCAGGCGCUCUUCUUGUACUCCGUGCCAAAUAAGGUGGACUUGGAGCACUACAUGGUAGUGCUCAAGGAAAACGAAGACCAUUUCUUUAAGCAUCAGGCAGAUAUGCUUUUGCAUGGAAUUAAAGUGGUGUCCUACGGGGACUGUUUUGACCUUUUCCCGGGAUAUGUGCAAGACCUUGCCACUCAGAUCUGCAAGCAGCGAAGUCCAGAUGCUGAGCGAGUGGACAGCACCACCUUACUGGGUAAUGCAUGUCAGGACUGUGCAAAGAGGAAGUUGGAAGAGAAUGGAAUUGAAGUCACAAAAAAAGUUAGACAGUCAGAUACUGGUAGGUAUUGUUUGUUUUCAUGGGAACUCUGUGGUCUGUAGGUGUCUGUACUCAGUGCUUUGCUUUAACACCUUGGUGUAUGGGAAGGAUCAGUGCAUACUUCAUGUUGGAAUCACAGAAGCCUUUUCAGUGGAACCCGACCUUUCACACGACUAAUCAGAGGUACUGUUAUUGUCCCCAAAAUUUCUCUUAAAAUGUAAUUGAAAGAAAACAAGCAGGUGAUGUGACAUCAAUUCAGUGAGUUUUCAUGAGGAAGACACCCAUUUGGUCAUACCAAGUUGGCAAACAGAACAUUUUGGGAGCAUCCCUCUACCAGUUAGAGAAACCACUCUCCUACUGGGAUGUAUAUGCACUUACCUGUGAACUUUCAACUGCUCAUUUCAGCUCCCAUUGAAGCUGGGAGAGGCAUCUGGAUGACUACUUGUUCCUCCUCCCUCCUCUUCCCCUCCCCUCUGGUGUGGUAGGAUGCAUUUCUAGUUCCUUAGUACUAGGACGUAGGAUUUGAAUCUGAUUGGGCUCUGAAGGGGCUUUUCCCUUCUCUCUUCUCCUUUCUAUUCCCCCAGCACCAGCUUUUAACAUUCCCAAUGUAAAGCGUCUAGAUACAGGGUAAAAAGGAAGCAAGGCCGCUACUCUGGAUUCUAAAAGAUGGGGUCCCUGGCUGGCCUGGAACUCAACAUAUAUAGAUUAGACUGACCUCAAACUCAAGAGAUCUGUCUGCCUCAGCCUCCUGAGUACCGGGACUAAAGAUGAUGCUGGAGGGUCUUGAAGUUUUUAAAACUUGAAACUUGAAAACCAGCCUUCAGCAACCACAGUGCCAUGCCCAAGUGAUGAGGAAUGUACAGAGGACUCCAUAUGGAUCUCUCAAUAGUGAACUGUCACACACCCCCAAAAGAGCCAUGUGGGUGUGUGGCCUUUGUGGUUGAAUGACAGAGCUCUACUAUGCGUUUAGCUGCUCAGGAGGUGACAUGGACACACUUCAGGUAUACUCAUAAGGACUUAUGGACAGCUACCUCAGGGACCAAAUUGAGGGGUGGGAUGUACCUGGCAUUGUUCCCUUUUUCCAUUUGACAUGUUUUCUUAUGUCAGGGUGUUAUUUUUCCUAAUACAUGGAGGAGAAUGAGUACUAUUCGAGCAACAGUAGUUGCCAAAGAGAAAAUAAGACAUAAACAUUUAUAUUUUAUAUCUUUAUGUGGAAAUACAUGGAAGCAUCUUUUGGCUGUAGAAAGUUUUUUUUUUUUUUAAAGAUGUGUUGGUUACAGUGUUAAACAGUAAAGCACAAGUGGAUAGUAGAGGGGCUGAACCCACUGGUGAAAAUUGUUUUUAAAGGGAUGACUAGAUCAAUUUGGUUUCUUUGGAAUUUUGACAUUUUAGUAAUUUCUGUUCCAAAGAAUUGGUAAACUAACUGUUAGUGAGUGUUAAGUCCAGACAGACUGAAGACCUUUCCCAAAGUCUUCAGUGCUGUCUAGAUCCACUGUGUGACUUCCAAGUUAAAAAGGGAGAGUGAAGCACAAGAUCAAGCUUUAAACUUUUAGAAGUUCUAAGCUUUCCAAGUCUUAUUUCUCUAGGAUAAGGCCCAUCCUUUCUGAUCUCCUCUCUUCCCACGGUUCAUAUUAAGAUUUACUUGGAGUGGAGUAGGCAAUACUUUGAAAGGGCUUGCCAAAUUUUAACUACAUUCAAGGUUAACUUCUGGGAAAACACCCAUGCUUAGACUACUGCAUAUGUCCACAGCUCCUCUGAUAGUGACUGUGGCAAAGGCUCACAUGUUAUACAGAGUGGUCCUGAAAGGAAGACUUCUUAGAAACAGGUCCUGCAUGGUUCAUUUGAGGCUAUCCAUCUUUGAUAUGAUGCCAAGCUCUGCCUGUGACAUUGCAUGGACGGCACAGUAGCUCCCAAGGGAUAUUGACAAUUAAGAACAGGAAACAUAGGUUGCUACAGGGAAUGAGGGAGAAGCCAGAGACAGGCUAAAGACACCUCCUCACUCCCAUGCUUUCUAAGUGUGGAAAAUCUUUUAUGUCACUGGUUAUAAAUAAAAUUUUUAAAGUCAA